UAGGCGACACCGCGCGGAACCGAAGCCGUUCUCAGUUCGGAUCGGAGUCUGCAACCCGACUCCGUGAAGCUGGAUUCGCUAGUAAUCGCGCAUCAGCCAUGGCGCGGUGAAUACGUUCCCGGGCCUUGUACACACCGCCCGUCAAGCCAUGGGAGCCGGGGGUGCUUGAAGUGCGUCGCCGCAAGGCGCGCCCUAGAGCAAAACCGGUGACUGGGGCUAAGUCGUAACAAGGUAAC
rnacentral:rRNA from 1 species